UGCUCACUUCGGCAGCAAUAUACUAAAAUUGAAAUGAUACAGAGAAGAUUAGCAUGGGCCCUGCUCAAGGAUAACACACAAAUUUGUAAAAUGUCCCAUCUUUUU
ensembl:snRNA U6 U6 spliceosomal RNA